AAGUCGUAACAAGGUUUCCGUAGGUGAACCUGCGGAAGGAUCAAUGGUGGAAAGUUUGUGUGGUUGUGGGGGAAGGAGAAGAGAGAAGGGGGGAGAGAGAGAGGGGUCCAAGGGGGUUUCCUUGAAAGCUUUUGAUGUGAAAGGGAUGUUGAUUUUAAAGGCGCCCCCAAACAUUGAUUGGUGAGAGGGGACAAAAUUGGGGAGCUCAACUUUCAACACCAACUUCCAACUCAAUCCAACCUAACCCAACCCAACCCAAAACAUUUACGCAUGUAGAGUAAUGACUGAGUAAAAAGGAUAAUAGGGAUAAUUGAUAUAACUUUUAACAAUGGAUCUCUUGGCUCUU
rnacentral:misc_RNA from 1 species